GGUGAAACCGCAAAAGGCUCAUUAAAUCAGUUAUGGUUCCUUGGAUCUUAAACAGUUACUUGGAUAACUGUGGUAAUUCUAGAGCUAAUACAUGCAAACAAGUCCCGACCAGAGAUGGAAGGGACGCUUUUAUUAGAUCAAAACCGAUCGGCGUCCGGCUCCGGCCGGCGCCGUCUCUUUUGGUGACUCUGGAUAACUUUUAGCCGAUCGCACGGUCACAGUACCGGCGACGCAUCUUUCAAAUGUCUGACUUAUCAACUGUCGAUGGUAGGCUCUGCGCCUACCAUGGUUGUAACGGGUAACGGGGAAUCAGGGUUCGAUUCCGGAGAGGGAGCCUGAGAAACGGCUACCACAUCCAAGGAAGGCAGCAGGCGCGCAAAUUACCCACUCCCGGCACGGGGAGGUAGUGACGAAAAAUAACGAUACGGGACUCAUCCGAGGCCCCGUAAUCGGAAUGAGUACACUUUAAAUACUUUAACGAGUACCAAUUGGAGGGCAAGUCUGGUGCCAGCAGCCGCGGUAAUUCCAGCUCCAAUAGCGUAUAUUAAAGUUGUUGCGGUUAAAAAGCUCGUAGUUGGAUCUGUGUGCCACGCUGUCGGUUCACCGCCCGUCGGUGUCAACUGGCAUGUCUGUGGGACGUCCUGCCGGUGGCGGUACGGGCUGUCGGCGCUGCGUAGGGGUUCGCCCCCGAAGCACGUCGGCGUGUCCCGGUCCGCCGAUUCAAUCCCGCCGCGGUGCUCUUCACUGAGUGUCGAGGUGGGCCGGCACGUUUACUUUGAACAAAUUAGAGUGCUCAAAUCAGGUCGUA
rnacentral:rRNA from 1 species